CCUACGGGUGACAGCAGUGAGGAAUAUUUGUCAAUGGACGCAAGUCUGAACCAGCCAAGUAGCGUGCAGGAUGACAGCCCUCCGGGUUGUAAACUGCUGUUAGUUGGGAAUAAAAGGGGGCUCGUGAGCCCCGUAUUGUAUGUACCGUCAGAAAUAUGACCGGCUAAUUCCGUGCCAGCAGCCGCGGUAAUACGGAGGGUCCGGCCGGUAGUCGGACUUAUUGGGUUUAAAGGGAGCGUAGUCCGGCUUUUAAGUCAGCUGUGAAAGUCCGCGGCUCAACCGUGGAAUGGCAGAUGAAACUGGAGGACUUGAGUGCACACAGGGAUGCCGGAAUUCAUGGUGUAGCGGUGAAAUGCUUAGAUAUCAUGAAGAACACCGAUCGCGAAGGCAAGUGCCCGGGGUGCAACUGACGCUGAGGCUCGAAAGUGCGGGUAUCAAACAGGAUUAGAUACCCGGGUAGUC
rnacentral:rRNA from 1 species